GUGGACUCUGUCUACAGCCACAUCUAUAUUACUUUCAUCUAUGCCUAUGUCAUAGAAUUCAGCCCAUUUGUCACAUCAAACACAACUCUUACUAAAGUAGACCUGGCAAUUGAGUUCAAUGACCGUGCUGCACCUGGAGAAACCCCACAGGCUAGCGAUGUCGCAACAGCUUUAGCAAGUGCUGUGUCCAAUCCCAACAACACCUUCAAUCUCACUGUUGUGUCCACUUCCAUUCAAGUAGUUGUACUGAAUGGGACGACAAGUCCAACAACUGAAGCCCCCGUCGUCACUACUACAGAAACCACUGAACAAACAACCGCCAGUGCUACACCUGCUUCAACAGCAGAGACGACAGCAGCUAAUUUCAACACUUCAGGGACCACAACAGUUUUCCUUCUCUCAGCUGUCCUGAAUACAACAUAUGAAUCACAACUCAAUGACAACAACAGCGUUCAGUUCCAGACUCUCCAAAGAGAAGUUGUACGAAUUGUGAGUACAAUGUCAAAACGGACAAAUGGCUUUAUAUUUGCCAAGUGGAUGACUUCAACAUGAAAAUCUUGACUAUUGAAUGUAAAUAGUGAAACAUUUUAAUAUGUUUCUAAUUUCCUGUCUGCUUUCCUCCCUCAGGUGGACUCUGUCUACAGCCACAUCUAUAUUACUUUCAUCUAUGCCUAUGUCAUAGAAUUCAGGUAAGACUUUGAGUUCUUGCCCUUGAAUGACUUUGGUUUUCUCUCUUUGUGCUAUUCACCACUAUCAUAAGUGAUUUAUUGCAAAGGAACCCAGUUCAUGGAUCAGUUGCACAUAUGAUUCACGACUAUCAAUAUGAUGUCAUUGAAAUGUUCUUCUGUUUUGUGCAGCCCAUUUGUCACAUCAAACACAACUCUUACUAAAGUAGACCUGGCAAUUGAGUUCAAUGACCUUGCUGCACCUGGAGAAACCCCACAGGCUAGCGAUGUCGCAACAGCUUUAGCAAGUGCUGUGUCCAAUCCCAACAACACCUUCAAUCUCACUGUUGUGUCCACUUCCAUUCAAGUAGUUGUACUGAAUGGGACGACAAGUCCAACAACUGAAGCCCCCGUCGUCACUACUACAGAAACCACUGAACAAACAACCACCAGUGCUACACCUGCUUCAACAGCAGAGACGACAGCAGCUAAUUUCAACACUUCAGGGACCACAACAGUUUUCCUUCUCUCAGCUGUCCUGAAUACAACAUAUGAAUCACAACUCAAUGACAACAACAGCGUUCAGUUCCAGACUCUCCAAAGAGAAGUUGUACGAAUUGUGGACUCUGUCUACAGCCACAUCUAUAUUACUUUCAUCUAUGCCUAUGUCAUAGAAUUCAGCCCAUUUGUCACAUCAAACACAACUCUUACUAAAGUAGACCUGGCAAUUGAGUUCAAUGACCGUGCUGCACCUGGAGAAACCCCACAGGCUAGCGAUGUCGCAACAGCUUUAGCAAGUGCUGUGUCCAAUCCCAACAACACCUUCAAUCUCACUGUUGUGUCCACUUCCAUUCAAGUAGUUGUACUGAAUGGGACGACAAGUCCAACAACUGAAGCCCCCGUCGUCACAACUACAGAAACCACUGAACAAACAACUGCCAGUGCUACACCUGCUUCAACAGCAGAGACGACAGCAGCUAAUUUCAACACUUCAGGGACCACAACAAUUUUCCUUCUCUCAGCUGUCCUGAAUACAGCAUAUGAAUCACAACUCAAUGACAACAACAGCGUUCAGUUCCAGAAUCUCCAAAGAGAAGUUGUACGAAUUGUGAGUACAAUGUCAAAACGGACAAAUGGCUUUAUAUUUGCCAAGUGGAUGACUUCAACAUGAAAAUCUUGACUAUUGAAUGUAAAUAGUGAAACAUUUUAAUAUGUUUCUAAUUUCCUGUCUGCUUUCCUCCCUCAGGUGGACUCUGUCUACAGCCACAUCUAUAUUACUUUCAUCUAUGCCUAUGUCAUAGAAUUCAGGUAAGACUUUGAGUUCUUGCCCUUGAAUGACUUUGGUUUUCUCUCUUUGUGCUAUUCACCACUAUCAUAAGUGAUUUAUUGCAAAGGAACCCAGUUCAUGGAUCAGUUGCACAUAUGAUUCACGACUAUCAAUAUGACGUCAUUGAAAUGUUCUUCUGUUUUGUGCAGCCCAUUUGUCACAUCAAACACAACUCUUACUAAAGUAGACCUGGCAAUUGAGUUCAAUGACCGUGCUGCACCUGGAGAAACCCCACAGGCUAGCGAUGUCGCAACAGCUUUAGCAAGUGCUGUGUCCAAUCCCAACAACACCUUCAAUCUCACUGUUGUGUCCACUUCCAUUCAAGCAGUUGUACUGAAAGUGAUGUCAAGUCCAACAACUGUAGCCCCCAUCGUCACUACUGCAGACACCACUCAACAAACAUCCCACAGUGCUACACCUGCUUCAACAACAGAGAAUAGGGUGACAACAACAGAGUCAGACAUUACGACUCCCACUACUACAACUCAUUCUCCUCCUCCUGCCACUACUACUACUAGUACUACUACUACUACUACUACUACUACUACUACCAGCACUACAACCCUGGCUCCCCCAGCAGUUAUAGUUGUCACAGCAGUUUUGGUUGUACCAUUUACACCACAACUCUCUGACAGAAACAGCAUUGGAUUUAAGACUCUGGAAGUACAGGUUGUUACAAUUUGGAAUGUCAUUCUAAGGUCCAGAUAUGGUGCUUCAUUUCUAGGUUCAUAUGUCAUACAAUUUAGAGAAGCUGUUACCACAACCAAAUCAGCUAAUACUGAAGCAGAUGUGGGAGUUAACUUCUCUAACAGAGUAGACCAGGUCCCACCCGCUGUUGAUGUGGCAAACCUAUUAGUAAUGUCUUUGUCCAACCCCAACAACACCUACAACCUUACUGUUGUUCCCUCAUCUGUCCAAGCACUUUAUUUAAAUGCAACAUCAAACGCAACAACAGUAUCACCUACACUGAACAGUGCAACUGGUGUAACAUCAACUGCGACAACAGUGCCACCUACAUUGAACAGCACCACAAGCAUACAAGUGUAUACAGCCACCAGUGGUACAUCUGGAACUAUGAGUCCUACUGCCUCUGCUGAAGCACUUACUACAAAGAAUCUUGUUUUCAGAUCUAAGGAAACAUUUACUAGUGACUUAAAUAAUCCAUCAUCUGUAGCAUAUAGAAAUCGAGCCUCACUGAUAACAACAACACUUACUCCUUUCUACAACAAAGCAUUUGAUUCCUUUAAGUCCAUCCAAGUGACUGAUUUCAGUAAUGGUUCCAUUUACAACAGACUAUUACUCCGUUUUGCAUCUGCAUCUGUUCCUAAUGACACUGCAAUUGGAGAAGUUUUGAUCAAAGCAGCUUCAAACAUCACUUCCUUUAACAUUGACAUCACAUACAUUUUUGUGGAUAACACUCAAGUGUCAAGUGGAAUAAGCCAGAGGGUCAGCAUCAUUACUGCAUCCUGCCUGGUGCUUCUGUCGUGGCUGCUAUCAAAUCAACAAUAGUGUCAAUGCUCAUGUUCAUCUCAGAUCGCAAUUAAGAAACUGACAUGAAAAAAAAGUUAUGUUGCUAUAUGUGAAACCUAUAAAUGAAGAAACCCACAAACACCACAAACUGAACUAUCAUCAUCAUCAUAAUACUGCAAUUAUGUUAUUUAAAAUAUAGUUAUCAUUAUUCAUGUUAAACUUUGUUGUGUUAUACUUAAUUGCCUGUAAGAGAUGCUUUUAUAUAAAAAAAAGCAGUCCAGUAAUAAAAAUGUGAAGAUAGGUUACA
rnacentral:lncRNA from 1 species